ACGUACGGCCAUAGAUACUGGAAAGCACGGGAUCCCGUCCGCUCUCCCCUAGUUAAGCCAGCAAUUAGCGUGCCGCUGCAGCGGAGGCCACUUUCUGAUUUUCCCAGAGUAUGUCUUUGCAUGUGUUGGCCGCCGUUCUUG
rnacentral:rRNA from 1 species